rnacentral:rRNA from 1 species
ACGGAGGGUGCAAGCGUUAAUCGGAAUUACUGGGCGUAAAGCGCAUGUAGGCUGUAUGGCAAGUUGGAGGUGAAAUCCCACGGCUCAACCGUGGAACUGCCUUCAAAACUACCAAACUGGAGUGCGAGAGAGGAUAGCGGAAUUCCAGGUGUAGGAGUGAAAUCCGUAGAUAUCUGGAAGAACAUCAGUGGCGAAGGCGGCUAUCUGGCUCGUAACUGACGCUGAGAUGCGAAAGCGUGGGUAGCAAACAG